AAGUCGUAACAAGGUUUCCGUAGGUGAACCUGCGGAAGGAUCAUUACGCAUAGUGAGAGCCGGAAGACAGUCCCCUCGUAGCAAAUUACAAGGGGUAGGAGGCUGCUUGCCCUGCAGCAAGUCGGGAUUCGUACCCUGCUUUUUGAGCACCAUUUGUUUCCUCGGCGGGCUUGCCCGCCAGUGGGGACCCCUCAAACAUUUUGUAAUGAGAAGUAACCGUCAGUAAGAUAAAAAUUAUCACAA
rnacentral:misc_RNA from 1 species